rnacentral:tRNA from 1 species
GUCCCCGUAGCUCAAUUGGAGAGAGCAUCACCCUGCGAAGGUGAAGGUUGAUCGUUCGAAUCGAUUCGGGGACGCCA